rnacentral:piRNA from 1 species
UGCUAUAUGUACUGCUAGAACCACAAGUUC